UCGAGGAUAAGGGACUGAUUGUGGCUAGGGAAGGUAUUAGCACCCCUAGCAUAUCCUACCUGAGGUAAGCUGCUUUGUGGUUAUGAUGUCUCAUAGA